CUAAAAGACCUACUGUAAAAAGGAAUUUAGUUUGGGAUCAUGAAUUCAUAUUAUCACAUCAAAAAGGCAUCAGAAACAGAAAAAGAAGGAAAAGAAAACAAGAAGUGAAUGAUCUCAUUCGCCAUUGCCACCGCUCAAGUUAGGUAGAAAAGGCAAGAAGUAGCUGUGUUUGGAGACACUGUUGCUCAAACAUGUGUCACAAUAAACUGCGCCCACUAUUGUGAUUCGAGUGACUGACGUUAGAGCUUCAGCUAUUCGCAAACUAGUGAAGAAAGAUGUUAAAACAAGGAGAAGAAGGAGAGAAAUGGUGGGAUCCAUAAGAAACAUUCAAUGAAGAAGAGGAGGUUGUGCGAGAAGCAUCAAUGGAAGAAUGGGUUCUACAAACUUCAACUUUCUAUUCUACCUGUGCUGGAAGAAGAGGCUGAAAUAUUAUAUAAACACCUUUAAACUUUCCUUUCUGUUUUAAAAAUAAGUCUCAAUAUUACCCCUAAGCUCUUGUAAACGUUUCAAAUUAAAACUACCCAUGAAAUAUAAAUAAGAAUUUCAAGUAGAAAUUGGGAUUUAGAAUUGUACAACGAUAACAUAUAACAAUGUGGUGAUUCAAAUUUUCAUUUCAUGUUACCUACAAUACAUUAUUUCAUAUCUCAUUUUUUCUUAAAAUUCUAAAGAAGAUCUACCCAAGGUAUUUUGAAACGUUUAUAGAAAGUUUAAGGAUAAUGUUGUAAUUUUUGAAACAAAUGAUAAAGUUAGAAGGGUAUUUUUUUUUCUUUUUUAAUUUAACAUUGAAGAAACUUCUAGAACGACAAUGGUUUUGUUCA